UACGGAGGGUGCAAGCGUUAUCCGGAUUCACUGGGUUUAAAGGGUGCGUAGGAGGGCAGGUAAGUCAGUGGUGAAAUCUCCAAGCUUAACUUGGAACUGCCGUUGAUACUAUCUGUCUUGAAUAUUGUGGAGGUGAGCGGAAUAUGUCAUGUAGCGGUGAAAUGCUUAGAUAUGACAUAGAAACACCAAUUGCGAAGGCAGCUCACUACUCAAUCAUUGACUCUGAGGCACGAAAGCGUGGGGAUCAAACAGG
rnacentral:rRNA from 1 species